GACGAACGCUGGCGGCGUGCUUAACACAUGCAAGUCGAAUGGAAAGGCCCUGCUUUUGUGGGGUUCUCGAGUGGCGAACGGGUGAGUAACACGUGAGUAACCUGCCCUUGACUUUGGGAUAACUUCAGGAAACUGGGGCUACUACCGGAUAGGAGCUCCUGCUGCAUGGUGGGGGUUGGAAAGUUUCGGCGGUUGGGGAUGGACUCGCGGCUUAUCAGCUUGCUGGUUGGGUAGUGGCUUACCAAGCCUUUGACGGAUACCCGGCAUGUGAGGGGGAACGGGGACAAGGGGACUGAGAGACGGCGCAGAGGGCAAUGGGGGGCAGCAGGGGGGAACAUUGCACAAUGGGCGGAAGCGUGAGGAAGCAACGCUGGGGUCGGGAUGACCGCCUUCGGGGUGAAAACAGCAUUAGCCUGUGACGAAGCGGGAGUGACGGUAAAGGGUAAAGAAGCACCGGCUAACUACGUG
rnacentral:rRNA from 1 species